AGCGAACGCUGGCGGCAGGCUUAACACAUGCAAGUCGAGCGCCGUAGCAAUACGGAGCGGCAGACGGGUGAGUAACACGUGGGAACGUGCCUUCUGGUUCGGAAUAACUCAGGGAAACUUGAGCUAAUACCGGAUAAGCCCUUCGGGGGAAAGAUUUAUCGCCGGAAGAUCGGCCCGCGUAAGAUUAGCUAGUUGGUGAGGUAAUGGCUCACCAAGGCUACGAUCUUUAGCUGGUCUGAGAGGAUGAUCAGCCACACUGGGACUGAGACACGGCCCAGACUCCUACGGGAGGCAGCAGUGGGGAAUAUUGGACAAUGGGCGCAAGCCUGAUCCAGCCAUGCCACGUGAGUGAUGAAGGCCUUAGGGUUGUAAAGCUCUUUAGCAGGGACGAUAAUGACGGUACCUGCAGAAAAAGCCCCGGCCAACUUCGUGCCAGCCGCCGCCGUAA
rnacentral:rRNA from 1 species